GCCCAGAUGGCGAAAUUGGUAGACGCGCUAGUUUCAGGGACUAGUGGCCGUAAGGCUGUGCAGGUUCGAGUCCUGUUCUGGGCA
rnacentral:tRNA from 1 species